UUUUUGCAUGGGAUUAUAACUAUUACAGUUCAGAGGGAAAUAGUGACUCAUACAUGAAUGCAAAAUUGUAUCACGCGUAUACUCAGGCAAGCACAAGCACAAGCAGAAAUACAAAUGUGAUGAAAUGUAAUGAUGUACCCGAACAGAACCAAGCAAUGUUGCAUGCAUAAGAAACACAGAUACACAAUAUAAUGUUCAUACUCCAAGCCAUCUUGUCAGCAGCAGCAGAACUACCCAUUAGAGCCAUUCACAUGAUGACCAAAAGCUUUGUAGGAAACAUCUAGUGCUUUAUGCAACACCUUUAAUGAGUUGCACAUUUAUGCUCUUACAAGCACUUUGGACAGAUGUCCCAGGAGCACAAAACAACAGUGUCUUUAAGUUAUUGAUCGUUUUACUAACAAUUGUACUUUAUAAGACAUUCAAUCAAGAAAGUAUAUAUGCCCACACAUGCAAUUUGGAAAGAUGG
rnacentral:misc_RNA from 1 species